rnacentral:lncRNA from 1 species
CUUUGCUAAGCUCUUGCAUGCCUCCCCGCAACCCCUAUUUCAUCCUCGAAUUACCUUGAUAGGGUAGCUGUGAUUAUGUCUGUCUUACAGAUGAGGAAACUGAAGGCUAGGCCAGUUAAAUAGCUUGUCCUAGGUCACACAACUACUGAGUGAUAGACGCAGUUCUCAGAUCUGACUUGAAAUCCUGCACUCAUUCUGCUGUAUUCACAGGAAGAGGAGAUUGGUUACAGACAAGCACAGAAGGAAGACCACACGAAGACACAGAAUGGAGGCUCUCUCUAUGCUACACAGAGAAGUCUCAGAAGAAACCAAUCUUGCUGGCACCUUGAUCUCAGGCUUCCAGCCUCCAGAAUUGUGAGAAAAUAAAGUUCUGUUGUUUGUCACCCCAUCUGUGGUAGGUUGUUAUGGCAGCCUGAGGAAACUAAUACAGGUGUCCUAAUGGAAAGGCCCAUGCUCUCAUAGCUGCUUGGCAGCCUCCAGGGUGAGUAAGAUGUGGCUGGAACGCAAGCACGCAUUGUCUGCAAGUCCUCAGCUGCUGAGGGAAGGCUGGACCUUGUGCUUGGCUGCAGGGUGUGGCCUCUGACACGGAAGCACUUUUCCAGCCCUGGGUGACUCUUGGAGUGAGUAUUAUCACAGACCAUGUCUGCACAAUUUACAUCCACCAAUGAAUUAACUUCUAUUUACAAGACUUGAAGAAAUGCACCAAGGUCGGCUGAAUGAAAACUCAACGUCAGUAGCAUUUUGUAAUUGAUGAUGAUGAUGAUGAAUUAAUUUGUGUACAAUGACUAUCAAUACCUAUUAUCAAUAUCCAUUACUUUUUUGUUUGUUUAUUUGUUUUUUUGGGUUUUCUUGUUUUGUUUUGUUUUUUUUUUUUUGCAUGUCUGAACUCUCUAUCUUGGUUGUAGCCUCAUUGUGGACAAGGAGUACAAUAACAUACUCAAUUUUGCAUCCUUU